UAUAAAUAGUCCAUAACCAUUUGUUGAUGAUUUAUCAAGGUAAUAUGGCUACCCAGAUCAACCAUCUGUUUAUUUUCAUUGCAAUUGUGUGUAUCGUUUCCAUUUUCACUCAAGGCACAUGUAAAGUGGAUGGUAUAGCAGAAAGAACUAAUGAUUUUUCACCGCAAGACUGUGAGAAAGAUCCUACUAUAUGUCCAAAUCAUCCUCAAGAAUGUAAUAAGAGUUGUAUAAGGAAGGGCAUUCGUUACCAUAAUGGUUGUCAAGGAAAUCUAUGUUGCUGCGGAGCAUAACACAUCUAUGUCUACAAAUUAUGUACAAAUAUUAUCUUUAUGGAUAUGGCUACCAUUCAAAUUAAAUAAAAAUAAUACUUUUAUUUUAGUA